rnacentral:lncRNA from 1 species
AGGGCCAAGCGGGAAAGCUGCAGGUAGCUUACAAACCAUCACGAGUGCCUCCUGACACGUUUAAAGACUAGCAAGAUGCCGUCCUGUGGACCCCAGCUACCAAAGGCCAGACAGACACUGCUCCCUCAAGACUCCUCCACCUGCUUCAGCUUCCCCCGGAAGAGCUGUGGCCUCUGCGAGUGCCCGUUACCUCUGGGUGGCUAUCCCCUUUCCACCUUUCAGCCCAAACUCCUAGAUCCAGAGUAGCGAAUAACAGGAGUGGGUGCCUGUCACUGGAUGUCACUGGAAAAGUCCAGGGAAGCAGAGGGGUUAUUAACAGCCACAGAGGAGCAAGACAAGGAAGUACCAGAGAGAGCUGGCCAAGGAAUGCUAGUCCUGGGCUGCAGGUCAGCCAGCUGGCAGCUGAGCUAACUCAGAGAGCUGGCUUCCCAAUGGGGUGCAGUUAGUAGGCCAGGCCCACCAGGCAGCUGCAGUUCUGCUUCUGCUAGAUCCUGCCCUGGGGUGAGGCAGGCCAAGUCAGAAGCCAGUGCCUUCCUCCCAGCGGGUCCUGGGAAGCCAGUGAUAGGGGGUGCUGAGGCAACAGACCUCACGCUGAUGAGGAGGCUGCUUGGUUCCGGGCUCUGCCGAAAGAGGAGUGGGAUACGGCUGUGAGAGGGCCGAGGUUGAGUCUUGCUCACCCAGAAGACCAAGGACAUCAGGUGCAGUGAUGCGGACGUGCAGGGAAAAGACUCUGCUGGUCAGGCCCUGACUGGGACCUGUUCACACAGAAUCUCUCCCUUCAGACAGGAGGGUUACCACAGCUGCCUGCAGUGUGGCCACCCCUGUGCUCAGAGGAGAAAGGCUGGGUGCUCCUCUUACCUGAGCCCUUCCAUCAGGAUUAAAUCUGCAGCCCUUUCCCCACUGUGUGCAGCUACUGGGCAGGGUGCCCAGUGUGGCCUGGUGGCAAAGGCCAAUUCAGAGCACUUCUCAGACUCCAUUUCCCUAAAGCGAGGCUGCUGGCUCCAUGCUGAGGAGAAGCCCUGGGGUGAUGGGAAGAAGAAGCCUUCCUGCUCUCCACUAGGAAGUCACCUCUGCCCUGCAGGUGCCCUGCAGGUGAGCAGCUCUCAGCUGGUGCACAAGGACAUGGGACAAAGGAGGUCCUCCCCAAGGAAUGUGGUGCUGUUUGGUCUCUAGAAAUAGAACCAUGUUCUUCAUGC